rnacentral:rRNA from 1 species
AUACGGAGGGUGCAAGCAUUAAUCGGAUUUAUUGGGCGUAAAGUGCGCGUAGGCGGUUUGGUCAGUCGGAUGUGAAAGCCCCAGGCUCAACCUGGGAAUGGCAUUCGAUACUGCCUGACUAGAGUAUGCUAGAGGGAAGUGGAAUUUCCGGUGUAGCGGUGAAAUGCGUAGAUAUCGGAAGGAACACCAGUGGCGAAGGCGACUUCCUGGGCCAAUACUGACGCUAAGGUGCGAAAGCGUGGGGAGCAAACAGGAUUAGAUACCCGAGUAGUCC